rnacentral:rRNA from 1 species
GACGAACGCUGGCGGCGUGCCUAAUACAUGCAAGUAGGACGCAGUUGCGAACGGGUGAGUAACGCGUAGGUCACUACCUAUUAGACGGGGAUAACUAUUGGAAACGAUAGCUAAUACCGCAUACUAGCAGAUGGACCUGCGUUGUAUUAGCUAGUAGGUAGGGUAAUGGCCUACCAACGCAACGAUACAUAGCCGACCGGAGAGGGGGAUCGGACACACUGGGACUGAGACACGGCCGAGACUCCUACGGGAGGCAGAAGUAGGGAGGUUUCGGAAAUGGGGGGAAGCCUGACGAAGAAACGAGGCGGUAGUGAAGAAGGUUUUAGGGUCGUAAAGCUCUGUUGUUAGGGAAGCGGUACUUAAACAGAAAGGGACGGCUAACUACGUGCCAGCAGCCGCGGUAAUAC